GAUGAACGCUGGCGGCGUGCCUAAUACAUGCAAGUCGAGCGAACAGACGAGGAGCUUGCUCCUCUGACGUUAGCGGCGGACGGGUGAGUAACACGUGGAUAACCUACCUAUAAGACUGGGAUAACUUCGGGAAACCGGAGCUAAUACCGGAUAACAUGUUGAACCGCAUGGUUCAACAGUGAAAGACGGUCUUGCUGUCACUUAUAGAUGGAUCCGCGCCGCAUUAGCUAGUUGGUAAGGUAACGGCUUACCAAGGCAACGAUGCGUAGCCGACCUGAGAGGGUGAUCGGCCACACUGGAACUGAGACACGGUCCAGACUCCUACGGGAGGCAGCAGUAGGGAAUCUUCCGCAAUGGGCGAAAGCCUGACGGAGCAACGCCGCGUGAGUGAAGAAGGUCUUCGGAUCGUAAAACUCUGUUAUUAGGGAAGAACUAAUGUGUAAGUAACUAUGCACGUCUUGACGGUACCUAAUCAGAAAGCCACGGCUAACUACGUG
rnacentral:rRNA from 1 species